GUGCCAGCAGCCGCGGUAAUACGGAGGGUGCAAGCGUUAUCCGGAUUCACUGGGUUUAAAGGGUGCGUAGGAGGGCAGGUAAGUCAGUGGUGAAAUCUCCAAGCUUAACUUGGAAACUGCCGUUGAUACUAUAUAUCUUGAAUGUCGUAGAGGUAAGCGGAAUAUGUCAUGUAGCGGUGAAAUGCUUAGAGAUGACAUAGAACACCAAUUGCGAAGGCAGCUUGCUAUGCGAUUAUUGACACUGAGGCACGAAAGCGUGGGGAGCAAACAGGAUUAGAUACCCGUGUAGUCC
rnacentral:rRNA from 1 species